rnacentral:rRNA from 1 species
UACGUAGGGUGCAAGCGUUGCCCGGAUUUAUUGGGCGUAAAGAGCGUGUAGGCGGCCAGACAGGUCCGUUGUGAAAACUCGAGGCUCAACCUCGAGACGCCGAUGGAAACCGUUUGGCUAGAGUCCGGAAGAGGAGAGUGGAAUUCCUGGUGUAGCGGUGAAAUGCGCAGAUAUCAGGAAGAACACCCGUGGCUAAGGCGGCUCUCUAGUACGGUACUGACGCUGAGACGCGAAAGCGUGGGGAGCGAACAGG